rnacentral:rRNA from 1 species
GAGAUGUGUGAUGACGCAUAUCAAUAAGCGGAGGAAAAGAAACUAACAAGGAUUCCCCUAGUAACGGCGAGUGAAGCGGGAAGAGCUCAAAUUUGAAAUCUUAAAGGGUUUCCCUUUACGAAUUGUAGUUUAAAGAAGUGUUUUCUGUUGGAGUUUCGGUAAAAGUUCUUUGGAAUAGGACAUCAUAGAGGGUGAGAAUCCCGUAUUUGACCGUUACUUUCCAGCUGUGUGAUACACUUUCAAAGAGUCGGAUUGUUUGGGAAUGCAGUCCAAAAUGGGUGGUAAAUUUCAUCUAAAGCUAAAUAUUGGCGAGAGACCGAUAGCGAACAAGUACCGUGAGGGAAAGAUGAAAAGAACUUUGAAAAGAGAGUUAAACAGUACGUGAAAUUGUCAAAAGGGAAGCGUUUGACACCAGUGUUGUUUAGUUGAAAAUCAAUUAAAUAUUUUUCGAUUUUAAGUAGUAUUGACCUUAUCAGCUUGCUGCUUUUUUCUCGGAAAUUAUUCAAUGCACUUUUCAGUUAACAAGUCAACAUCAAUUUCUUUUGUUGUAAAAAGGUAAGAGGAAGGUGGCUUGCGCUUCGGCUCAAGUGUUUAUAGCCUUUUACCCCUGCAAUCGGAGAGAUUGAGGUCUGCAGUGUAGAUCCUUCGGGGUUAGAUACAUUUGUGCUAAGCUAUAGCCUUGUAUAGACAACUUGUUGACUAUGUUAAGUCUUGUAGCUUACUCGCUUAUGCUAUUUUACCUACGCUUAGGAUGUUGAUAGUCACAGCGUGUAC